rnacentral:rRNA from 1 species
AGCAGCCGCGGUAAUUCCAGCUCCAAUAGCGUAUAUUAAAGUUGCUGCAGUUAAAAAGCUCGUAGUUGAAUUUCGGGACCGAUAUAUCGGUCGUGCCUCGGUACGUACUGGUAUUUUCGGUUUCUCCCUUCUGACGAACCUUGAUGUCAUUAAUUUGGUGUCUUGGGGAAUCAGGACUGUUACUUUGAAAAAAUUUAGAGUGUUUAAAGCAGGCUCACGCUUGAAUACAUUAGCAUGGAAUAAUGAAAUAGGACGUUCGAUCCUAUUUUGUUGGUUUCUAGGAUCAACGUAAUGAUUAAUAGGGAUAGUUGGGGGCAUUAGUAUUCAAUUGUCAGGGGUGAAAUUCUUGGAUUUAUUGAAGACUAACUACUGCGAAAGCAUUUGCCAAGGAUGUUUUCAUUAAUCAAGAACGAAAGUUAGGGGAUCGAAGACGAUCAGAUACCGUCGUAGUCUUAACCAUAAACUAUGCCGACUAGGGAUCGGAUGAUGUUAAUUUUUUAAUGACUCAUUCGGCGCCUUA